GGGUCACGACGCUCUUCCUAGCUGUUGUUCUCUGGCUCCGGCUGUCCGGUGAUCUCCCACUCGACGGCAAUGUCAGCCGGGUAGAAGCCUUCGAUCAGGCAGGUCACACUGACUUUGUUCUUGCUGAGCUCCUCCUGGGUUGGAG